GACGAACGCUGGCGGCGUGCUUAACACAUGCAAGUCGAACGAGAUUUUGGUGGGAAUUCUUUCGGGAAUGGAAAGGAAAUGAAAUGGGCGAACGGGGGAUUAACACGUUAGCAACCUACCUUACACAGGGGGAUAGCCGUUUGAAACGACGAUUAAUACCGCAUGAGACCACAGAAUCGCAAGAGAUAGGUGUGAAAGAUUUAUCGGAGUAAGAAGGGCCCGCGUCGGAUUAGCUAGUUGGAAGGGUAAAGCCCUACCAAGGCGACGAUCAGUAGCCGGUAUGAGAGGAAGAACGGAGACACUGGCACUGAGCAACGGUCCAAAAUCCUACGCGAGGCAGCAGUGGGGAAUAUUGCAACAUGGGGGGAAUGAUGAUGCAGCGACGACGCGUGAGCGAAGAAGGUUUUCGAAUAGUAAAGCUCUGUCAUAUGAGAAGAUAAUGACGGUACCAUAGGAGGAGGCCACGGCUAACUACGUG
rnacentral:rRNA from 1 species